AUUUAUGGUCAUGCCACCCUGAACGGCGCAAUCUCGUCUGAUCUCAGAAGCCAAGCAGAGUCAGGCUUGGUUAGUACUUGGAUGGGAAACCACCUAAGAAUACAGGCUGCUGUAGGUG
rnacentral:rRNA from 1 species